UAAACUACGAUUAGAUACCCUAUUAUUUUAAACGUUAAUUGUAAAUACUUGAGUAGUAAUAGUUAUGUUCUUGAAACUCAAAGAAUUUGGCGGUGUUUUAGUCCUUUCAGAGGAACCUGUCCCGUAAUCGAUAGUCCUCGUUAAACCUUACUUAAUUUUGCGAUCAGCUUGUAUACCGUCGUCGUCAGAGUGUCCUUGGAGGGGAAGAAUUUUCUUAAAUUUCAACUAGAAAUGAUGUCAGAUCAAGGUGCAGUUAAUGGUUAAGUGGAGAUAGGUUACAAUAAAUUUAUUUAAUACGAAAGAUGAUUUGAAAUAGUUAUCUGAAGGUGAAUUUGAUGGUAAUUAUAUUAAGUGUAUUUAAUUGAUUUUGGCUCUAAAACAUGUACACAUCGCCCGUCGCUCUUA
rnacentral:rRNA from 1 species